rnacentral:misc_RNA from 1 species
UCACUCCUUGCGGAGGCAGUCUUGCUAGAGUCCCCGGCUUGACCCGCUGGCAACUAACAAUAGGGGUUGCGCUCGUUGCGGGACUUAACCCAACACCUCACGGCACGAGCUGACGACGGCCAUGCAGCACCUUGUUUUGUGUCCCGAAGGACGGGCACAUUUCUGCACCCUUCACGCACAUUCUAGCCCAGGUAAGGUUCCUCGCGUAUCAUCGAAUUAAACCACAUGCUCCACCACUUGUGCGGGCCCCCGUCAAUUCCUUUGAGUUUCACCGUUGCCGGCGUACUCCCCAGGUGGGAUACUUACCGCUUUCGCUUAGUCGCGGACUGUCUAUCGCCCACGACGAGUAUCCAUCGUUUACGGCGUGGACUAC